UAAUUGGAGAGUUUGAUCCUGGCUCAGAGUGAACGCUGGCGGCGUGCUUAACACAUGCAAGUCGCACGAGAAAGCUUCUGCUUGCAGAGGCGAGUAAAGUGGCGCACGGGUGAGUAACACGUGGGUAAUCUACCUCCGAAUUGGGGAUAACAUUGCGAAAGCGAUGCUAAUACCGAAUGACAUCCUUUGGUUUGCGGACCUUUGGAUCAAAGGUGGCCUCUUCAUGAAAGCUACUGUUUGGAGAUGAGCCCGCGGCCCAUUAGCUUGUUGGUAGGGUAAC
rnacentral:rRNA from 1 species